rnacentral:rRNA from 1 species
UACGUAGGGGGCAAGCGUUGUCCGGAAUCAUUGGGCGUAAAGAGCGUGUAGGCGGCCAGGGAGGUCCGUUGUGAAAACUCGAGGCUCAACCUCGAGACGCCGAUGGAAACCCCCUGGCUAGAGUCCGGAAGAGGAGAAUGGAAUUCCUGGUGUAGCGGUGAAAUGCGCAGAUAUCAGGAAGAACACCCGUGGCUAAGGCGGCUCUCUAGUACGGUACUGACGCUGAGACGCGAAAGCGUGGGGAGCGAACAGGG